UACGUAGGUGGCAAGCGUUGUCCGGAUUUACUGGGCGUAAAGCGUAUGCAGGCGGAGAAGUAAGUAGGAAGUGAAAGGUUGGAGCUCAACUCUAACACUGCUCCCUAUACUGCUUUUCUUGAGUGCCGGAGAGGACAAGGGAACGGGUCGUGUAGCGGUGAAAUGCGUUGAGAUGACUCGGAACACCAAUGGCGAAAGCACUUGUCUGGACGGAAACUGACGCUGAGAUACGAAAGCCAAGGGAGCGAACAGG
rnacentral:rRNA from 1 species